UAUGUGAUCGUCUCUCGCAUAUCAAUAAGCGGAGGAAAAGAAACUAACAAGGAUUCCCCUAGUAACGGCGAGUGAAGCGGGAAGAGCUCAAAUUUGAAAUCUUAAAGGGUUUCCCUUUACGAAUUGUAGUUUAAAGAAGUGUUUUCUGUUGAGGUUUUGGUAAAAGUUCUUUGGAAUAGGACAUCAUAGAGGGUGAGUAUCCCGUAUUUGACCUUUACUUUCAACUUUGUGAUACACUUUCAAAGAGUCGGAUUGUUUGGGAAUGCAGUCCAAAAUGGGUGGUAAAUUUCAUCUAAAGCUAAAUAUUGGCGAGAGACCGAUAGCGAACAAGUACCGUGAGGGAAAGAUGAAAAGAACUUUGAAAAGAGAGUUAAACAGUACGUGAAAUUGUCAAAAGGGAAGCGUUUGACACCAGUGUUGUUUUUCUGAAAAUCAAUUAAAGAACUGUUUAUGCUAAGCUGUUUAGACUUUAUCAGCUAUCUGUUUAGUUUUGAGCUUUUCUUUAAUGCACUUUUCAGUUAACAAGUCAACAUCAAUUUCUUUUGCUGUAAAAAAGCUUGAGGAAGGUGGCUUGAGAUUCGUCUUAAGUGUUUAUAGCCUCUUGCCUAUGCAGUCGGAGAGAUUGAGGUCUGCAGCGUAGAUCCUUCGGGGCUAAAUGCAUUUGUGCUAAGUUAUAGCAUUUUAUAGACAACUUGUUGACUAUGAUUUGUCUUGUAGCUUACUCGCUUAUGUUAUUUUACCUACGCUUAGGAUGUUGAGCGCAUGUCUCUCUCU
rnacentral:rRNA from 1 species